rnacentral:rRNA from 1 species
CCGGCGAGUGGCGAACGGGUGAGUAAUGCAUCGGAACGUACCCGGAAGUGGGGGAUAACGUAGCGAAAGUUACGCUAAUACCGCAUAUUCUGUGAGCAGGAAAGAGGGGGAUCUUCGGACCUCUUGCUNNNNNAGCGGCCGAUGUCAGAUUAGCUAGUUGGUGAGGUAAAGGCCCACCAAGGCGACGAUCUGUAGCGGGUCUGAGAGGAUGAUCCGCCACACUGGAACUGAGACACGGUCCAGACUCCUACGGGAGGCAGCAGUGGGGAAUUUUGGACAAUGGGCGCAAGCCUGAUCCAGCCAUGCCGCGUGAGUGAAGAAGGCCUUCGGGUUGUAAAGCUCUUUCGGCCGGGAAGAAAUCGCAUGGAUUAAUACUCUGUGCGGAUGACGGUACCGGCAUAAGAAGCACCGGCUAACUACGUGCCAGCAGUCGCGGUAAUACGUAGGGUGCGAGCGUUAAUCGGAAUUACUGGGCGUAAAGCGUGCGCAGGCGGUUUUUUAAGACAGGCGUGAAAUCCCCGGGCUCAACCUGGGAACUGCGCUUGUGACUGGAAGACUAGAGUAUGGCAGAGGGGGGUGGAAUUCCACGUGUAGCAGUGAAAUGCGUAGAGAUGUGGAGGAACACCGAUGGCGAAGGCAGCCCCCUGGGCCAAUACUGACGCUCAUGCACGAAAGCGUGGGUAGCAAACAGGNNNAGAUACCCUGGUAGUCCACGCCCUAAACGAUGUCAACUAGGUGUUGGGAGGGUAAAACCUUNNNGUACCGUAGCUAACGCGUGGAGUUGACCGCCUGGGGAGUNNNNNNGCAAGG